rnacentral:rRNA from 1 species
AUUGAACGCUGGCGGAAUGCUUUACACAUGCAAGUCGAGCGGCAGCACGGGGGCAACCCUGGUGGCGAGCGGCGAACGGGUGAGUAACACAUCGGAACGUGCCCGAUCGUGGGGGAUAACGCAGCGAAAGCUGUGCUAAUACCGCAUACGAUCUACGGAUGAAAGCGGGGGACUCGCAAGGGCCUCGCGCGGACGGAGCGGCCGAUGGCAGAUUAGGUAGUUGGUGGGAUAAAAGCUUACCAAGCCGACGAUCUGUAGCUGGUCUGAGAGGAUGGUCAGCCACACUGGGACUGAGAUACGGCCCAGACUCCUACGGGAGGCAGCAGUCGAGAGGCUUCGGCAAUGGGGGAAACCCUGACCGAGCGACGCCGCGUGAGGGAUGAAGGCCCUUGGGUUGUAAACCUCUUUUGUUCGGGAAGAAGUGCGAUCAGGUGAAUAAUCUGGUCGUUUGACGGUACCGGACGAAUAAGCUCCGGCUAACUCCGUGCCAGCAGC